rnacentral:lncRNA from 1 species
CGCUCUAGAUUGUCUCGGAUAUCGACCUGCAACUACAGUCAAAGUUAUUACUCCCUCCACUGGCACAGCAUCGCCAGUAAACCCUACCAACGGGGAGCUAAUCGGCCCUAACCGACCAUCAGGGAUGGAUAUUUUUGAGAAUGCAUCGUAAAACAAAAUAUCGACCGAGCUUUCACUAUCAACAAGAAUGCGGCGUACAUCAUAAUCAGCAAUAUUUAAAGAAACUACAACUGCAUCAUUAUGGAGGAAUUGGAUCUCCCGGGCAUCUUCUUCAGUAAAGGUUAUAGAUCCUUCAGUUCUUUGCUGCUUGAGCGGUCCGGUCAAUCCACUGGCCGUCCCCUUCGAGGCCCUCUAGAGAUGGUGUUGAUGAUCCCGAUUGGACAUCGAUCUUCAGGCUGUUCUUCCCUCCUUGGUGGCUCCAGUUGUGGCAGGACCAUCGGCCGAUCCUCCCUACCUUCAGGCCGGCGUCAGAUGAAUCUAUCGAGCCGAUCCCGCCUGAUGAGCUCCUCGAUUUCAUCUCGAAGCUGAAUACACUCCUUCGUGUCAUGGCCGUGG